rnacentral:rRNA from 1 species
AGCGAACGCUGGCGGCAGGCCUAACACAUGCAAGUCGAACGGUCCUUCGGGACAGUGGCGGACGGGUGAGUAACACGUGGGAACGUGCCCUUUGGUUCGGAAUAGCUCCGGGAAACUGGAAUUAAUACCGGAUGUGCCCUUCGGGGGAAAGAUUUAUCGCCAUUGGAGCGGCCCGCGUCUGAUUAGCUAGUUGGUGGGGUAAAGGCCCACCAAGGCUACGAUCAGUAGCUGGUCUGAGAGGA